GUGCAAGGCCAUACCACCCUGAACGUGCCCAUUCUUGUCUGAUCUCGGAAGCUAAGCAGGAUUGAGCCUGCUUAGUACUUAUUUAGAAUACUGUGUCAAAAAUGGCCUCAUGAGUA
rnacentral:rRNA from 1 species